rnacentral:lncRNA from 1 species
GAGUCGACUCGAAUCUCAGAGUCCGAAAAUCGUUCUCUGACUUUUUCCUUGUGUUCCUCUGAGAGUCGACUCUUACCUUCUUUGGAGUCGACUCGAGCUCGUGCCAGUGAACUUGAUACGCUUGGAGUCGACUCGUGAUACUCGGGAGUCGACUCGAGUCUCAGACUUUGGUUCAGCAGACUUCUUACCUUAUCCAAAAUACUAUGAACCAAAUCUAGAGACACUUGGACAUGAUUUUCACUGAAUCACUCAAUUGAAUUCAUUAGUAAUCAC